rnacentral:rRNA from 1 species
GAUGAACGCUGGCGGCGUGCCUAAUACAUGCAAGUCGAGCGAACAGACGAGGAGCUUACUCCUCUGACGUUAGCGGCGGACGGGUGAGUAACACGUGGAUAACCUACCUAUAAGACUGGGAUAACUUCGGGAAACCGGAGCUAAUACCGGAUAACAUGUUGAACCGCAUGGUUCAACAGUGAAAGACGGUCUUGCUGUCACUUAUAGAUGGAUCCGCGUCGCAUUAGCUAGUUGGUAAGGUAACGGCUUACCAAGGCGACGAUGCGUAGCCGACCUGAGAGGGUGAUCGGCCACACUGGAACUGAGACACGGUCCAGACUCCUACGGGAGGCAGCAGUAGGGAAGCUUCCGCAAUGGGCGAAAGCCUGACGGAGCAACGCCGCGGGAGUGAAGAAGGUCUUCGGAUCGUAAAACUCUGUUAUUAGGGAAGAACAAAUGUGUAAGUAACUAUGCACGUCUUGACGGUACCUAAUCAGAAAGCCACGGCUAACUACGUG